rnacentral:rRNA from 1 species
GAUGAACGCUGGCGGCGUGCCUAACACAUGCAAGUCGAACGGACGGACGAUAAGCUUGUGUCGUUCAUGUUAGCGGCUGGCGGGUGAGUAACACGUGGAUAACCUACUUAUUUUUCGGGGAGAAUUACGUAAAACCGGAUCUAAUACCAGAUAAUAUUUUGUACCGCAGGGUGCAAAGGUAAAUGGCGGCUUUGCUGUCUGUAAUAGACGGUUCCGCGCUGGAUUGGCUAGUGGGUAAGGUAACAGCCUACCAAGGCUACGAGGCGUAGCCGAGGUGAGGGGAUGAUCGGCCACACUGGAACUGAGACACGGUCCAGACUCCUACGGGAGGCAGCAGUAGGGAAUAUUGGGCAAUGGGCGAAAGCCUGACGCAGCAACACCGCGUGAGUGAUGAAGGCCUUCGGAUCGUAAAGCCCUGUUAUUGGGAAAGAAAAGCUGUGUACUUAAACGCGGCCUUAUUGACGGUACCUAAUGAAAAAGCACCGGCUAACUACGUG